AUUGAACGCUGGCGGCAGGCUUAACACAUGAAAGUCGAGCGGAGAUGAGGUGCUUGCACCUUAUCUUAGCGGCGGACGGGUGAGUAAUGCUUAGGAAUCUGCCAUUUAGUGGGGGACAACAUUCCGAAAGGAAUGCUAAUACCGCAUACGUCCUACGGGAGAAAGCAGGGGAUCUUCGGACCUUGCGCUAAACGAUGAGCCUAAGUCGGAUUAGCUAUUUGGUGGGGUAAAGGCCCACCAAGGCGACGAUCUGUAGCGGGUCUGAGAGGAUGAUCCGCAACACUGGGACUGAGACACGGCCCAGACUCCUACGGGAGGCAGCAGUGGGGAAUAUUGGACAAUGGGCGGAAGCCUGAUCCAGCCAUGCCGCGUGUGUGAAGAAGGACUUUUGGUUGUAAAGCACUUUAAGCGAGGAGGAGGCUACUAGUACUAAUACUACUGGAUAGUGGACGUUACUCGCAGAAUAAGCACCGGCUAACUCUGUGCCAGCAGCCGCCGCAGUAA
rnacentral:rRNA from 1 species